rnacentral:rRNA from 1 species
CCUACGGGUGGCUGCAGUGAGGAAUAUUGGUCAAUGGGCGCGAGCCUGAACCAGCCAAGUAGCGUGAAGGAUGACUGCCCUACGGGUUGUAAACUUCUUUUAUCAAGGAAUAAAGUGAGGCACGUGUGCCUUUUUGCGUGUAUUUUAUGAAUAAGCAUCGGCUAACUCCGUGCCAGCAGCCGCGGUAAUACGGAGGAUCCGAGCGUUAUCCGGAUUUAUUGGGUUUAAAGGGAGCGUAGAUGGGUUGUUAAGUCAGUUGUGAAAGUUUGCGGCUCAACCGUAAAAUUGCAAUUGAUACUGGCAGUCUUGAGUACAGUUGAGGUAGGCGGAAUGCGUGGUGUAGCGGUGAAAUGCUUAGAUAUCACGAAGAACUCCGAUUGCGAAGGCAGCUUACUAAACUGCCACUGACAUUGAUGCUCGAAAGUGUGGGUAUCAAACAGGAUUAGAUACCCCAGUAGUC